rnacentral:rRNA from 1 species
CCGGGGACGAGGAGCUGGCAUCAGGCACACCAGAUAGCCCAAGACGCCUUGCUCAGCCACACCCCCAAGGGAAUUCAGCAGUAAUAAACAUUAAGCCAUAAGUGAAAACUUGACUUAGUUAGGGUUAAAAGGGUCGGUAAAAUUCGUGCCAGCCACCGCGGUUAUACGAAAGACCCUAGUUUAUAGGCACGGCGUAAAGGGUGGUUAUGGAACAGACAAAAUAAAGCUAAAGACCCCCAGAGCCGUCAUACGCCCACGGGGGUGCGAAACCCAAAUACGAAAGUAGCUUUACCAAACAAAUGCCCGACCCCACGAAAGCUGAGAAACAAACUGGGAUUAGAUACCCCACUAUGCCCAGCCCUAAACCUAGAUGAAAACUUACAAAACCAUCCGCCCGGGAACUACAAGCACAGCUUAAAACCCAAAGGACUUGGCGGUGCCUCAGACCCACCUAGAGGAGCCUGUUCUAGAACCGAUAACCCCCGUUAAACCUCACCACCUCUUGUCUUCCCCGCCUAUAUACCGCCGUCGUCAGCUUACCCUGUGAAGG